rnacentral:rRNA from 1 species
GAGUUUGAUCCUGGCUCAGAUUGAACGCUGGCGGCAUGCCUUACACAUGCAAGUCGAGCGGCAGCGCGGGGGCAACCCUGGCGGCGAGCGGCGAACGGGUGAGUAAUACAUCGGAACGUGUCCUGUCGUGGGGGAUAACCAGUCGAAAGAUUGGCUAAUACCGCAUGACCUCGUAAGAGAAAAGCGGGGGACCGUAAGGCCUCGCGCGACUGGAGCGGCCGGUGUCGGAUUAGCUAGUUGGCGGGGUAAAAGCCCACCAAGGCGACGAUCCGUAGCUGGUUUGAGAGAACGACCAGCCACACUGGGACUGAGACACGGCCCAGACUCCUACGGGAGGCAGCAGUGGGGAAUUUUGGACAAUGGGCGCAAGCCUGAUCCAGCCAUGCCGCGUGUGUGAAGAAGGGCCUUC